UGGGACUAGAGGCCAAACCAAUAGUCUCGCUGUUGGAGGGGGUGAUUUGGAGAGCAUCCUGGGAAGCAAGUCGUUUCUGGAAAGCCGUGAGGGAAAACAAGGCAGAAAUAAAAAGGCCUAUUUCCCAUAGGACUUCGCCCCAGCCCUGAGUUAUUUCAUCUCCCUGUCAUUCCUGAGGGUGGCCCUGAUUCCUCCUUCACUGAGAAGGGCAGCUCACACCAUGGCAACUGGCUUCCACUGGAUGAAGAAGCAAGAGAAGGCACAGCAUGCAGAAGUUCCCAGGUCAAGGA